UGAGGUGUAGCUCAGUGGUAGGGUGGUAGCCUGCACGUGGCCCUGGGUUCAAGCCCCAGCAACACAA
rnacentral:tRNA from 1 species